rnacentral:rRNA from 1 species
UAACGAGCGCAACCCUUAUCGUUAGUUGCCAUCUGGUAAUGCAGGGGACUCUAGCGAACUGCCACCGUAAGGUGAGGAGGAAGUGGGAUGACGUCAAAUCAGCACGGCCCUUAUGUCCAGGGCUACACACGUGUUACAAUGGUCGGUACAGAGGGCAGCUACCUGGUGACAGGAUGCUAAUCUCGAAAACCGGUCUCAGUUCGGAUCGAAGUCUGCAACUCGACUUCGUGAAGCUGGAUUCGCUAGUAAUCGCGCAUCAGCUAUGGCGCGGUGAAUACGUCCCCGGGCCUU